UUGACGCGGUGUGGGCGAGCGGUUUAUGGGAAGAGCUGGUAGCCUGGCCGGUAUGGACGGCGUUAGCAAUGGACGGGCUCGAUGUGUCGCUGACAGUGGGCCCCACGCGAGGUGGGAAUGCGUCAACUAUGACAUCCUGUUUGUCACCGUCUGGUUAUGGGAGGCUGGCAGGGGACGCACGCCGGCGGCGGGAGAGAGCGCGUCCGGCCGUGGGAGGAGGCGGCGGGAGAGAGCGCAGUGGGGGAGGAGCAACGCUGGUGACGGUCGACAGUGAGGGAGGAGGCGGACGCGCUCUCUCCCGCCGCCUCCUCCCUCUCCUCACGACAGCAGUUGUCCUCUCGGCGCCACCGCCUUCGAGCUCCCCCCAGCCCGAUUCCGACGUCGCCGCCUCCUCCUCCAGCCCGGCGGCGCCGCCUCCGAGCUCCCCCCUAGCCCGACUCCGGCGUCGCCGCCUCCUCCCUUAGCCCGACGCCGCCGCCUCCGAGCCCCAACCCAUCGCCGACUCCUGCCCCGGGCCCGAUGCCGCCUCCGCCGCCUCCUCCCCGGCCUGACGUCGCCACCGCCUGCUCCCCAGCGACCACCGCCACUCUCGCCGCCGUCCAGCGCGGGUCGCUGCCCCACCACCUCGCGCCGCCGCCGGCCAGCACCAAACCCCUCUCGUGUGCCUACAUGAGAUAGAGAGGAGGGUGUGAGAUAGAGAACAGGGGCAAUAUAGUCUAUUCAUAAUUAAAGUUUAUUUUUUUAUUUUAUUUACUCUAAACCCUAACGGUAUAAAUUAACGAUGGUCAGACAACUGCUUCGUCUUCGUCUUAAAAAAGAAUGGUCAAAUCUGCAAAACUGGAAAAGAAGGAAGCAAAGUGGAAAUGAAAUUUUGAUAGGACAAAGGGGACAGGCAAGCAUGGCAUUGUCUAAAGUGUUAAGCGAAGCGAACACAAGUACGCAGCACAUUCAUCGGUUUUGCAUCCACGCCGGAACACCAUGGUUAAUAAUCGCCAUGAUUAUGUCAUGAGGAAAAUAAAAUCAUGUCCAUCCUCUAUCAGAUGCAGCUUCACUUGACUUGUACAAUACCCCAAACAAGCGUAGGCCUCUUUUGCCAUCCUAGCCUGAAAAAACCUGCAAGCU